rnacentral:RNase_P_RNA from 1 species
UGAGUAAACCGGGUAGUCGCAGGGGAACCUUGAGAUUCUCCUGAGGAAAGUCCGAGCUCCAGAGAGCAGGGUGCUGGGUAACGCCCAGUGGGGGUGACCCCAAGGAUAGUGCCACAGAAAUAAACCGCCCCACUUCAAACUUGAAUGGGGUAAGGGUGCAACGGUGCGGUAAGAGCGCACCAGCGGCUGGGAGACCAGUCGGCUAGGUAAACCCCACCCGGAGCAAGACCAAAUAGGAGGGAGAUGACGUUGCGCGCAGAUUCCUCGGGUAUGGUCGCAAGAGGUGUCAGGCGACUGGCAUCCACAGAUAGAUGACUACCGCCUCGAAUUAUGCGAGGAACAGAACUCGGCUUACAGGUUUGCUCAAUAA